UGGGGAAUAUUGCACAAUGGGCGAAAGCCUGAUGCAGCAACGCCGCGUGAGGGAUGAAGGCCUUCGGGUUGUAAACCUCUUUUAGCAGGGAAGAAGCGAAAGUGACGGUACCUGCAGAAAAAGCACCGGCUAACUACGUGCCAGCAGCCGCGGUAAUACGUAGGUGGCAAGCGUUGUCCGGAAUUACUGGGUGUAAAGGGCGUGUAGGCGGGUUAGCAAGGCAGAUGUGAAAAACCGGGGCUCAAGUCC
rnacentral:rRNA from 1 species